rnacentral:rRNA from 1 species
GAUGAACGCUGGCGGCGUGCCUAAUACAUGCAAGUCGAGCGAACAGACGAGGAGCUUGCUCCUUCGACGUUAGCGGCGGACGGGUGAGUAACACGUAGGUAACCUACCUAUAAGACUGGGAUAACUUCGGGAAACCGGAGCUAAUACCGGAUAAUAUUUCGAACCGCAUGGUUCGAUAGUGAAAGAUGGCUUUGCUAUCACUUAUAGAUGGACCUGCGCCGUAUUAGCUAGUUGGUAAGGUAACGGCUUACCAAGGCAACGAUACGUAGCCGACCUGAGAGGGUGAUCGGCAACACUGGAACUGAGACACGGUCCAGACUCCUACGGGAGGCAGCAGUAGGGAAUCUUCCGCAAUGGGCGAAAGCCUGACGGAGCAACGCCGCGUGAGUGAUGAAGGUCUUCGGAUCGUAAAACUCUGUUAUUAGGGAAGAACAAACGCGUAAGUAACUGUGCACGUCUUGACGGUACCUAAUCAGAAAGCCACGGCUAACUACGUG